AUUGAACGCUGGCGGAAUGCUUUACACAUGCAAGUCGAACGGUAGAGGGGGCAACCCCUCGAGAGUGGCGAACGGGUGAGUAAUAUAUCGGAACGUGCCCAGUCGUGGGGGAUAACGUAGCGAAAGUUACGCUAAUACCGCAUACGAUCUAAGGAUGAAAGCGGGGGAUCGCAAGACCUCGCGCGAUUGGAGCGGCCGAUAUCAGAUUAGGUUGUUGGGGGGGUAAAGGCUCACCAAGCCAACGAUCUGUAGCUGGUCGGAGAGGACGACCAGCCACACUGGAACUGAGACACGGUCCAGACUCCUACGGGAGGCAGCAGUGGGGAAUUUUGGACAAUGGACGCAAGUCUGAUCCAGCCAUUCCGCGUGCAGGAUGAAGGCCCUCGGGUUGUAAACUGCUUUUGUACGGAACGAAAAGGUCUCUCUUAAUACGGGGGGCUCAUGACGGUACCGUAAGAAUAGGCACCGGCUAACUACGUGCCAGCAGCCGCGGUAA
rnacentral:rRNA from 1 species